rnacentral:rRNA from 1 species
UACGUAGGGUGCGAGCGUUAAUCGGAAUUACUGGGCGUAAAGCGUGCGCAGGCGGUUUUGUAAGUCGGGUGUGAAAUCCCCGGGCUCAACCUGGGAAUGGCAUUUGAGACUGCAAGGCUGGAGUGCGGCAGAGGAUAGUGGAAUUCCUGGUGUAGCAGUGAAAUGCGUAGAUAUCAGGAGGAAUACCAAUGGCGAAGGCAGGUCUCUGGGCUGACACUGACGCUCAUGCACGAAAGCGUGGGGAGCAAACAGG